rnacentral:rRNA from 1 species
AGUGCCAGCAGCCGCGGUAAUACGUAGGGCGCAAGCGUUUUCCGGAAUUAUUGGGCGUAAAGAGGCUCGUAGGCGGUUUGUCGCGUCUGCUGUGAAAUCCGGAGGCUCAACCUCCGGCCUGCAGUGGGUACGGGCAGACUAGAGUGCGGUAGGGGAGAUUGGAAUUCCUGGUGUAGCGGUGGAAUGCGCAGAUAUCAGGAGGAACACCGAUGGCGAAGGCAGAUCUCUGGGCCGUAACUGACGCUGAGGAGCGAAAGGGUGGGGAGCAAACAGGCUUAGAUACCCUGGUAGUCCACCCCGUAAACGUUGGGAACUAGUUGUGGGGUCCAUUCCACGGAUUCCGUGACGCAGCUAACGCAUUAAGUUCCCCGCCUGGGGAGUACGGCCGCAAGGCUAAAACUCAAAGGAAUUGACGGGGACCCGCACAAGCGGCGGAGCAUGCGGAUUAAUUCGAUGCAACGCGAAGAACCUUACCAAGGCUUGACAUAUACGAGAACGGGCCAGAAAUGGUCAACUCUUUGGACACUCGUAAACAGGUGGUGCAUGGUUGUCGUCAGCUCGUGUCGUGAGAUGUUGGGUUAAGUCCCGCAACGAGCGCAACCCUCGUUCUAUGUUGCCAGCACGUAAUGGUGGGAACUCAUGGGAUACUGCCGGGGUCAACUCGGAGGAAGGUGGGGAUGACGUCAAAUCAUCAUGCCCCUUAUGUCUUGGGCUUCACGCAUGCUACAAUGGCCGGUACAAAGGGCUGCAAUACCGCGAGGUGGAGCCGAAUCCCAAAAAGCCGGUCCCAGUUCGGAUUGAGGUCUGCAACUCGACCUCAUGAAGUCGGAGUCGCUAGUAAUCGCAGAUCAGCAACGCUGCGGUGAAUACGUUCCCGGGUCUUGUACACACCGCCCGUCAAGUCAUGAAAAUCGGUAACACCUGAAGCCCGGUGGCCUAACCCUUGUGGAGGGAGCCGUCGAAAGUGGGAUCGGUAAUUAGGACUAAGUCGUAACAAGGUAACU